GACGAACGCUGGCGGCGUGCUUAACACAUGCAAGUCGAACGAUGAACUUAGAGCUUGCUCUGGGGGAUUAGUGGCGAACGGGUGAGUAACACGUGAGUAACCUGCCCUGGACUCUGGAAUAACUUCGAGAAAUCGGAGCUAAUACCGGAUAGGACCUUGCACCGCAUGGUGUGGGGUGGAAAGUUUUUCGGUUUGGGAUGGACUCGCGGCCUAUCAGCUUGUUGGUGAGGUAAUGGCUCACCAAGGCGUCGACGGGUAGCCGGCCUGAGAGGGUGACCGGCCACACUGGGACUGAGACACGGCCCAGACUCCUACGGGAGGCAGCAGUGGGGAAUAUUGCACAAUGGGCGCAAGCCUGAUGCAGCAACGCCGCGUGCGGGAUGACGGCCUUCGGGUUGUAAACCGCUUUCAGUAGGGAAGAAGCCUUCGGGUGACGGUACCUGCAGAAAAAGGACCGGCUAACUACGUGCCAGCAGCCGCCGUAACAC
rnacentral:rRNA from 1 species